rnacentral:tRNA from 1 species
GCCCGGGUGGCGGAAUCGGCAGACGCGUCGGACUCAAAAUCCGAUUCCCUCGCGGGAGUGAGGGUUCGACCCCCUCCCCGGGCA